GACGAACGCUGGCGGCGUGCUUAACACAUGCAAGUCGAACGGAAAGGCCCUGCUUUUGUGGGGUGCUCGAGUGGCGAACGGGUGAGUAACACGUGAGUAACCUGCCCUUGACUUUGGGAUAACUUCAGGAAACUGGGGCUAAUACCGGAUAGGAGCUCCUGCUGCAUGGUGGGGGUUGGAAAGUUUCGGCGGUUGGGGAUGGACUCGCGGCUUAUCAGCUUGUUGGUGGGGUAGUGGCUUACCAAGGCUUUGACGGGUAGCCGGCCUGAGAGGGUGACCGGCCGCAUUGAGACUGAGAUACGGCCCAGACUCCUACGGGAGGCAGCAGUGGGGAAUAUUGCACAAUGGGCGGAAGCCUGAUGCAGCAACGCCGCGUGCGGGAUGACGGCCUUCGGGUUGUAAACCGAUUUCGCCUGUGACGAAGCGUGAGUGACGGUAAUGGGUAAAGAAGCACCGGCUAACUACG
rnacentral:rRNA from 1 species